GGGGAGCAGGAGGAAAAUAGCGUAGGAUGGCGGCUCAAAUUCCAAUUGUGGCUGCCCCUUCCACUCCAGGGAUAGCUCGGAAUAGCAAGAAAAGGCCUGCUAGCCCUUCCCACAACGGCAACAGCGGAGGGGGGUACAGCACCGGUAAGAAGAAAAAGCUCUCCGGCCCUGGCUUUGCGCAGGGCAUCAGCAUGGAAGCCAUGAGUGACAAUAAAGUGGUGUCCUCUGAGUUUAGCACAGGCCCUGUGGAAAAAGCUGCCAAACCUUUGCCAUUUAAGGAUCCCAACUUUGUGCACUCUGGCCAUGGUGGUGCAGUAGCUGGCAAGAAGAACGGAACCUGGAAGAACCUGAAACAAAUUCUCACUGCUGAAAGGAAAUCUGUGGAUACUGUUAAUGUGCAGAAAUGA